AGAGUUUGAUCCUGGCUCAGGAUGAACGCUGGCGGCGUGCUUAACACAUGCAAGUCGAGCGAAGCACUUAUGAAGAUUCUUCNGGAUGAUUCAUUUGUGACUGAGCGGCGGACGGGUGAGUAACGCGUGAGUAACCUGCCUCAUACAGGGGAAUAACAGUUAGAAAUGACUGCUAAUGCCGCAUAGGCGCACAGGACCGCAUGGUCCGGUGUGAAAAACUCCGGUGGUAUGAGAUGGACCCGCGUCUGAUUAGCUGGUUGGUGAUGUAACGGCCCACCAAGGCGACAAUCAGUAGCCGGCCUGAGAGGGUGAACGGCCACAUUGGGACUGAGACACGGCCCAAACUCCUACGGGAGGCAGCAGUGGGGAAUAUUGCACAAUGGGGGAAACCCUGAUGCAGCGACGCCGCGUGAGUGAAGAAGUAUUUCGGUAUGUAAAGCUCUAUCAGCAGGGAAGAAAAUGACGGUACCUGACUAAGAAGCCCCGGCUAACUACGUGCCAGCAGCCGCGGUAAUACGUAGGGGGCAAGCGUUAUCCGGACUUACUGGGUGUAAAGGGAGCGUAGACGGCUUUGCAAGUCUGACGUGAAAAUCCGGGGCUCAACCCCGGAACUGCGUUGGAAGCUGUGAGGCUUGAGUGCCAGAGAGGUAAGCGGAAUUCCUAGUGUAGCGGUGAAAUGCGUAGAUAUUAGGAGGAACACCAGUGGCGAAGGCGGCUUACUGGACGGCAACUGACGUUGAGGCUCGAAAGCGUGGGGAGCAACAGGAUUAGAUACCCUGGUAGUCCACGCGGUAAACGAUGAAUACUAGGUGUUGGGGGACAAAGUCCUUCGGUGCCGCCGCAAACGCAUUAAGUAUUCCACCUGGGGAGUACGUUCGCAAGAAUGAAACUCAAAGGAAUUGACGGGGACCCGCACAAGCGGUUGAGCAUGUGGUUUAAUUCGAAGCAACGCGAAGAACCUUACCAAGUCUUGACAUCGAUCUGAAUGGGGAGUAAUGUUCCCAGUCUCUUCGGAGACAGAGAAGACAGGUGGUGCAUGGUUGUCGUCAGCUCGUGUCGUGAGAUGUUGGGUUAAGUCCCGCAACGAGCGCAACCCUUAUCUUCAGUAGCCAGCAUUUCGGAUGGGCACUCUGGAGAGACUGCCAGGGACAACCUGGAGGAAGGUGGGGAUGACGUCAAAUCAUCAUGCCCCUUAUGACUUGGGCUACACACGUGCUACAAUGGCGUAAACAAAGGGAAGCAGCCCUGUGAAGGUGAGCAAAUCCCAAAAAUAACGUCUCAGUUCGGAUUGUAGUCUGCAACUCGACUACAUGAAGCUGGAAUCGCUAGUAAUCGCGAAUCAGAAUGUCGCGGUGAAUACGUUCCCGGGUCUUGAUACACACCGCCCGUC
rnacentral:rRNA from 1 species